AUGGGGGAUGCGGCUUCAAAUAUGGUACAAAUUCUUGUUUACCGGUUCCUACAAGGUGAAGCUUAAUGUUCAUAAUGCCAGCUGAUAUUAUGUAACUUGGGCUUAUACUGCUUCUAUGUUCUGUACGUAGAGCAUAUACUAUAGUACUCUCCAUUUCCUUCUAGUUUGACCAUCAUAUCUCCAUUUCCUUCUAUUAACUUCCUAUGUAAACCCAGCAAAAGAUCGAGGGAAGAAGAAAGGAAAAGGCACUGAAUUUAUGCUGUAGAAGCGAUCGAGUUCUUGACAACCCAAUUUGCUUGCUUCGACCAUAGAAAACCUAAUUUGCUGCCGCAUCUCUCAUCUCUUUGAUUUCGGUUCCAGAGCUCCUCUCCGGUUCAGUUGAUUGGGUUUAUGGUUUAGGGUUUAAGCUUCUGCCUCAAGAUUGGUACCUGAAUUUGCAACACCCUAGGAGAUUUUAGUGUCCUUGACUUUGACAAACAGAAAGGAGAAUGGCCGAAAAGAACUAAGAGGGAUAAAAAUCAGCUCUUGCAGGGUUGAGUGCUCCACGCCACUUUUGAACCAAAAAAAGAGAGUUCUGCAAAUAAAAAGGUUGACAUCCAAAACAAGACGAGCAGGUAUACUACACCCCUUUCAAGUUUGAGUGCUUGAAGCUAGAUUUUGAACUCGGAGGAGAGAGUGCGACUAAGAUAAAGUGAGGAAGUGACGUUCCACAUUCACCUGUUAUGUAUGCACAUCUGAUUGUGGAGAUCGACAAGGCAAAGUUAUUUGUAGAUACUUCCAAAGUAGGCAUGAGGUGUAGGAUCACCUGGCGAAUGCAGGUUUCAGGCCAUAUGACUCCAUUCUUUCUGAAGUAGAAAGGUGAGUUUGUGAGCUGAACCCUUUGUGCAUAGUGAACAUUUUUUCACAAGAGUGGUGAUCUUGUACAUGUAAUCACAUAUACAGCUUCAAUAGCAGUCACAGUCCAAUGCCAGAUUAUGACUUCUAGGCUGUAAUAGUUAGGCGGACUAAUUUUGUGAAUUUCGUGUAUUUGAA